rnacentral:rRNA from 1 species
AUUGAACGCUGGCGGUAGGCCUAACACAUGCAAGUCGAACGCGAAAGUCCUUCGGGAUGAGUAGAGUGGCGGACGGGUGAGUAACGCGUAGGAAUCUGUCCUGUAGUGGGGGAGUAACGUUUCGAAAGGAACGCUAAUACCGCAUACGCCCUACCGGGGGAAAGGACGGGGGAGUCUUCGGACCUCCGCGCUAGAGGAGGAGCCUGCGUCGGAUUAGCUAGUUGGUGAGGUAAAGGCUCACCAAGGCGACGAUCCGUAGCUGGUCUGAGAGGAUGAUCAGCCACACCGGAACUGAGACACGGUCCGGACUCCUACGGGAGGCAGCAGUGGGGGAAUAUUGCGCAAUGGGCGAAAGCCUGACGCAGCCAUACCGCGUGUGUGAAGAAGGCCUUCGGUUGU